UCUUAGACCUCAUUUAAGUGCUGACUGCCCUUCUAGAAGGAUCUCUGGUUGGAGAUUCCUUCUUUGUGGAGUCUUUUCUGCAAUCCUAGAUCUUCAGAUAUGGCUGGCGAUGGCAAACACCUUGAUUUCAGCUGCAGGGCAGUGGUGACUGCCAUCCCAACAGCAGGAAUCCCAUUGAGCCAGGAGGCUUCUGGCUGGAAUUUGCCAUCAGAUGUGUGUAGAGUAAGGAAGCAUGCAUACAGCUGUUUUUGUUUUUUAAUCUUUUAACCAUCAAAGACAAGGAAAUGUGAUCAUAGAUAACUCUUUCAGUGAGAUUCAACAUGGACCCUUGUUUUUGAGUUACGAUUAGUGUCUGCAGCACCCAGGCAUGCUUGCCUGGGUUAAGAUUGAAGCAGAAGGUUUGGGGGGUGGGGGUCUAAAUUAAUGGUUUAUGUGAGCGCAGAUGAAACACUGAUGCUUAAUUUAUAUUUUAUUUUCUUGGUAUGUUGUCAUACGGCUGCGUAUGAGAUUUGUUUGCACAUCAGGUUUGUAGUAUAGAGCUGAGAUAAGCUUCAGGUAGGACAAAAAUGGUUUGACUACAUCGAAAAUGUCUGGCGAGUCAGUUAGCCAUCUCCCACUUGUGGAGAGCAUCUCUUGUGCUGAAAACCAGAGGGUCAAUACUACACCUUUAAAAGUGCAACAACCAGAGAACCAGAACCCAGCCCCAUUUCGAUGUGAACUUGUGCCAUUCAAAUCAGUCGCUUCCAUGUACCACGUGAAAGAGUCUUGCACGUAUGCAACAACCUCAUUGAAGUGUUCUCCAAGUACACUGCUCUGGCCCUGCUGUGCUUGUCAGCCUGACUGCAAGGGAGGACUGGGGCUCACAGAGGGCUAAGAAACGCUUCUGGAAAACAGUUCCCUUCUCCCCCUCCAAAAUGAUUCUUUCUGUUUUAAUGGGGUUUGAGUUCCAAUGAGGAUGUGCACAUUUUAAAGUAUUUUUUACCUGACGUUUUUUAUCGGGUUUCUGAACUUUUCUUGUUGAUAAAUUUGCAUUUCAACGUGAUCCUCUGCCGAAAUUAUUAAAAACUAAUUUUUAAGUCUGUGUUUCCUACCUAUUUAUGAUUGCAAAUACAAUUGAUUUCUUGUUCCUAAUUGUUUAAACACUUGUGACUUAUUUUAACUGUUUUUUGUAAAUGAGGAACUCUAUACUGAGUUAUCAUGGCUAGUCGUAAGUGAACUGGUUUGGAUACUGAUUAAAAUUAAGUGUGAGUUUUGACAUGAGAUCUUUAGGAUGAGAGCAUUGAAUGUAAAAAAAAAAGAACGAAACAAAAGCACACCUUUCGUAUCCCACAUGCCUUUAUUGCUCAGCUCCUGUGGGAUUGGAACCAGCACAUUUCCAGCAGCAUUCCUUCCCAGCUGAGCUGAGAGUGGGAGGUGGCAGAACUGCAAAUAACAUUUGCACCGUGAGACUGUCAAAGUUGUUCCUAAUCUUUCUCAGUUUUCCAAACGUCUGUUGUAGUUCACCUGUGACUUGUUAUGAUCUUACUGAAUGGGCAUCUAUUGUAAGGGACUUUACCAGUAUUCUGUAUUUUGGUAUUUAAACAAUAUGAUUUCAUAAAUAGAACUGGUUUUUAUUACU
ensembl:lncRNA